ACAGAAGGGCUCUUUAUGUCCCUCUGUCCGGUGGUGGUCGCAAGCGAGGCCUGCACCGUUAUUGCCAUCACCAUAGUCUGAAGACCUACAGCAGGGCUCUGCCUGGCUCUGCGUCCCUCCGUCCAGUGGUGGUUGCAAGCGGCCUGCACCGUAAUUGCCAUCACCAUAGUCUGAAGGUUUUCUGCACGUAAAGCGCAGGAUGGAGCGUGGACAAGUUUUUUUGUUUUUUUAAUCGUCCAAGGCAUGGAGUUUUACUGAAGGUUUCUUCAGAUGAAAGCGUAGACUGGGGUCCGAACAAGGGGUUCUUUUUUUAACUGGCCCAGGCACAUUGUUUUAUUGAAGGUGAGCUAUGGUCUCCUACCAGCCUUACUUGUCACAGACAUUAUUUGCUGCCCUAGAUUUUUCUUCUCUUCUGAAAUGUCAGUUGGUUUUCAACUAAAUCUGCAUUUUUCCUGGCAGUUGCAGGUUUUCUGCACGUAAAGUGCAAGAUGGAGCAUAG
rnacentral:lncRNA from 1 species